rnacentral:rRNA from 1 species
AGCAGCCGCGGUAAUUCCAGCUCCAAUAGCGUAUAUUAAAGUUGUUGCAGUUAAAAAGCUCGUAGUUGAAUUUCGGGAUUGGCGCAUCGGUCGUGCCUUACGGGGUAUGAACUGGUGCAGUCAAUUUCUCACCUUCUGGAGAACCGCGAUGUCCUUAAUUGGGUGCCGCGGGGAACCAGGACCUUUACUUUGAAAAAAUUAGAGUGUUUAAAGCAGGCAUUUUUGCUUGAAUACAUUAGCAUGGAAUAAUAAAAUAGGACGGCAUGGUUCUAUUUUGUUGGUUUCUAGGACCACCGUAAUGAUUAAUAGGGAUAGUUGGGGGCAUUAGUAUUCAAUUGUCAGAGGUGAAAUUCUUGGAUUUAUUGAAGACUAACUACUGCGAAAGCAUUUGCCAAGGAUGUUUUCAUUAAUCAAGAACGAAAGUUAGGGGAUCGAAGACGAUCAGAUACCGUCGUAGUCUUAACCAUAAACUAUGCCGACUAGGAAUCAGACGAUGUUAAUUUUUAAUGACUCGUUUGGC